rnacentral:sRNA from 1 species
CAUCAGCUGUUCUCUUCACUAUAAAGUUGAUUGUCUUUCCUCUUGCACUCUUUCAACACCACUUGUGAAGCUGCAGUGAGUUGUGGAAUGUUUCCAAAGUACACAUCAAAGAACUCAGAAAUGUUGAUGUGUAUCUCUCCAAGCUUCUCCUUUAGCACAAAGUCUAUAUGCUUUUGAUAUUCUGUAGAAUUGAUGAAACUGCUAGUGUUGCGCAACCAGGGCGUCUGCUGAAUUGAUGAUAUGAGGCGCGGAGGAGUGGUGACUUGUGUGAUGGUGUCAAUAAGACUAAGGACAGAGUUCCAGACAUUGAUGUCCAGGUCUUUUUGAAUGAUGAGCCGCGCCAACGCUCGGCAGUGGUUGUAGGUGAGGUGGUUUUGUUGGAGACACUUGAAUAAACUA